CCUUCGAUAGCUCAGUUGGUAGAGCGGUGGACUGUAGUAAGGUAGCUUAAUGCAAUAUUGAUAUCCAUAGGUCGCUGGUUCAAAUCCGGCUCGAAGGA
rnacentral:tRNA from 1 species